UUGACGGGCCCGCACAAGCAGCGGAGCGUGUGGUUUAAUUCGAUGCUACACGAAGAACCUUACCAGGGUUUGACAUGCAAGUGGUAGGAACCGAAAGGCGACCGACCCUUCGGGGAGCUUGCACAGGUGCUGCAUGGCUGUCGUCAGCUCGUGUCGUGAGAUGUUCGGUUAAGUCCGCUAACGAGCGCAACCCUCGCUGUGUGUUACAAGUGUCACACGGUACUGCCGGUCUUAAGCCGGAGGAAGGUGGGGAUGACGUCAAGUCAGCAUGGCCUUUAUGUCCUGGGCUACACACACGCUACAAUGGCCAACACAAUAGGUUGCUAAGCCGCGAGGUGGAGCCAAUCCUCAAAGUUGGUCUCAGUUCAGAUUGCAGGCUGCAACCCGCCUGCAUGAAGAUGGAGUUGCUAGUAACCGCAGGUCAGCUAUACUGCGGUGAAUACGUUCCCGGGGCUU
rnacentral:rRNA from 1 species